GUGAAUCAUCAAAUCUUUGAACGCAAAUUGCACUCUCUGGCAUUCCGGAGAGUAUGCCUGUUUGAGGGUCAGUAUAAUCAAAAUCGGAACGAUGCUUUUUGGGUGACGCAGCUGAGUGUGGGUCAUCUUAACUCUUUUUUUUAUGAGACCUAAAAUUUACAUUGUUUUUUGCUCACUUUGGAGAUGUACAUAAUUUUUUUUUAUUCGUCUAUCCUGGUGUCAAAAAU
rnacentral:misc_RNA from 1 species